rnacentral:rRNA from 1 species
GAUGAACGCUGGCGGCGUGCCUAAUACAUGCAAGUCGAGCGAACAGACGAGGAGUUUGUUCUUCUGACGUUAUCGGCGGGCGGGUGAGUAACACGUGGAUAACCUACCUAUAAGACGGGGAUAACUUCGGGAAACCGGAGCUAAUACCGGAUAACAUGUUGAACCGCAUGGUUCAACAGUGAAAGACGGUCUUUCUGCUACUUAUUGAUGGUUCGGCGCCGCAUUAGCUAGUUGGUAAGGUAACGGCUUACCAAGGCAACGAUGCGUAGCCGACCUGAGAGGGUGAUCGGCCACCCUGGAACUGGGACACGGUCCAGCCUCCAACGGGAGGCAGCAGUAGGGAUUCUUCCGCAAUGGGCGAAAGCCUGACGGAGCAACGCCGCGUGAGUGAAGAAGGUCUUCGGAUCGUAAAACUCUGUUAUUAGGGAAGAAGAAAUGUGUAAUUAACUAUGCACGUCUUGACGGUACCUAAUCAGAAAGCCACGGCUAACUACGUG